UACCGCGACUGCUGGUAAGUGCUGUUCCCAGUGAAGCGGUGUGUUUGUAAUGUUUACUGAUUAUUAUUAUUAUUAUUUUACAAUGACGUGAAGAGAGCAUGGAGCUGUAAACCAUUUGUUUACACUCCAAAGGUAUUUUAGACAUCAACUACAACAGUAAUAAUAAUUAGUAUAUUGCAGUGUAUCAGUUAUUUAAUGUUUUGUAUCAAUACUGAAGGUAUUAUUGAUUAGGUGAUGGUUAAAAGAAUAGAUUAAUGUUGAAAUUGUGCCUUGUUCCUAGAAGGACAGAGAGUGGAAAGUUAUAGAUCAGAUGGUAAAAUGGAGAUAGAGACUGGAGAGAAAGUGGGAAAUGUAGAGGCACAAGAGACAGAAACAGUACAGGGAACAACAAGCCAGGCGACAGAGACUGGAGAGAAAGAGGGAAACUAAGAGACAGAAACAGUGAAGGGAACAGCAAGCCAGGAGAAGGAGACAGAAGCCAGAGAGGGGCUAUUCUCUAACCUACUUGGACUACAACACCCAACUGACCCUGCAUGUCCUACAAUUCAACAUAAAGUACGAUGAGGCCUUUAUCCGAAUGUGUGAUAAUAUUGGACCCUGCCAAACCAGACGGUCAUUUCCAAAGAAUGUAGAGGGAUGGUCAUUUCAGAAGAAGUGGUAUGAAUGUAGAGCUCUUGGUGUGCAGCAGCCUCUGUGAGCAUCCUCUUAUAUUCUUGUAGCAGUCAGCCUUGGCAGUUGCAGCACAGCAGGUCUAUUCUCAGAUAAACUCCAGCAGUAUCAGCAGCAACAACAGCAGCAAAUGCACUUAAGAUUAAUUUAGGAU